CCUACGGGUGGCAGCAGUGGGGAAUAUUGGGCAAUGGAGGCAACUCUGACCCAGCAAUGCCGCGUGAGUGAUGAAGGUAAUUUUAUUGUAAAGCUCUUUUCUUUGGAACGAAUAAAUGACGGUACCAAAGGAAAAAGCCCCGGCUAACUACGAGCCAGCAGCCGCGGUCAUACGUAGGGGGCAAGCGUUGUUCGGAAUUACUGGGCGUAAAGGGUUUGUUUGGGGUUUGGUAAGGUAGAUGGGUAAAACCCGGGGCCUAACCCGGGUGCUGCAGCUGAAACUGUUAGACUUGAGUACUGGAGAGGUAAGUGGAAUGCCUGGUGUAGCGGUGGAAUGCAUAGAUAUUAGGAGGAACACCAGUGGCGAAGGCGGCUAUCUGGACAGCAACUGACGCUGAGGCACGAAAGCGUGGGGAGCGAACAGGAUUAGAUACCCCUGUAGUC
rnacentral:rRNA from 1 species